AUGCACUUGUCACUCAUGGCCAGGUUUUUAUUUCACAGAGCUGUUUUUCUGUUGUCUGCAGAGCAGGCUGCUGUCUUCCUCCACUCUUUCUUCGACUGACUUCUGCAGAUCUACUAAUAAUCCUGCUAACAGAAGAUGGCAGAGUCCAUGCAAAAUGAAUGCAGACAGAGAUGACUUCAACGACCCUGACAUCAGCUUCACCUCCGUCCCAGCACUGAAGGAAACUACAGUCAUACAGGGAAGCCAUCCUGUCCCUCACAAUACUUUUGAGUUGGAUGGAGAUACACUACUGCACGGGGUAAGCACCAGGGAUGGCCGGCAGCAGGAGAGGGACUUGUAUCAUCAAUCAGGGCCACGUCCUGUGUUUGAAAUGCUGCAGACAGAAGCUCACAGUGAGGCUAAAAUUGCAAGUUAUCAGGUAGAGCUUUGGUCAGGGGACGCCAGCCUCCAGCAGGCGACCCUCCUAAGCCUGGGUGAUGGAUGUGAUAUGGAACCGAGGGGGAAUGCUAAUGAGUUCCAAGGUGUUGUGACUGAGUGCAACAAGGGGAGACCUGACUCUGGUGGGAGCUCAUUAGGUUGCAUGUCCCACCUGCAGAGCAGUGGGCAAACUAGUUCAGUGUCAGUCCUCCCACAAAGCAACACUCAUUUUCAGGUUGAUAGAAAGAAUCACAGCAGAAUUGUAGCCUCUUGUUCACCUGAAGUUGCCUCAGUGGGCCAGUUCUUCAAUGGAGAGAUAGAUAAAGCUGGAGGUUUGCAGGGGAUCUCCAAGACGUGUAACACUGGGACCGCACCAGCCCCAAUUCAAAAAUCAACACUGGGCUCUUUGUACAGUCGAGUUUCUGGACUUGUUCGUGAUGCAAGGCAUUUAGUUUGGGGCGCUCCAUCAGUUUUGCAGCAGAUUUUGGGAGUACGAUUAUAUCCCAUUAGGGCCCGCUGGACUAGUAAUAUAGUCUCUUUUGUUGGAAAAGGAAACGUUUCCUCUGUAGUGAAAGGAUGCCAAGUCUUCUUGCUUCAAGGGAGCUUUGUGUUCUCUUUGUUUAAAGACAGUCACAUUGUUUCCAUGGUGAAAGCUUUACCUCUGACUCAGCACCUACUGAUGGAUACAGCUCAACCUAAGCCUGAAGAGGCAGCUCAGAUGAUUCAGGACUACUACACUAGUUUUGAUCUAACGCAACCUCCCAUCAUGACAUUACAAAAAACACAGACCAAUGGGGAAGGAAUGACAAACGAACAGACGCUGCUCCUAGAUGAUUCCUGGCAAAACAAUAAGAGUAUCAGGUCAUCAUCUACGAAAGACACAUUUGAAACUGAUUCAAAACAAAACUCCAAGCUAAUAGCAGAGUCGAUAAAUGAGAUUUCAAAUGAACAUCAGGACAAAGUUCAGUCAUCUGAAGCCUUGAGGACCUUCCAAAUCAUUCAAACUCUGAUAACAUACCCUGAUUCCCUGUUGAACCUACAAACUUUGCCAUUGCCUGUUAUGGUUGAAGCUCUACAGUCCAUCAUCUCUGCUCCAGUGCUUACCAGCCCCAAAAUAGCAGCUCUUUAUUGGCUUAAUGUAGCCACAUGCACCCACCCUAACCCCCAACCUGCCCUCCUGAUCCUCACAGACACUGAACUUUAUACCUUGACCAAUGACUUUGGAGAAUUGCUUUUGUUUCAUCAGCUUCCAUUGCUGCAGCUGAAGGAAGUUCAGGUUGGCUUAUAUGGCCACAGUCUAUGUUUGAUGGGAAGUACACAGGAAAGCAUCCUGGCUGUGUAUACCUAUAGCCAGGCACACACCAAAGAGAUGUGCAGAGCUAUACUUGAUGUUAUUUGUCCUGAUGUCAACUGGGUUACUCAGUGCCCACUGCUCAAUAGAAAUCUGAUGGAAAUCUGUCUGACGUGGGAUGUCUGUGUACCUGAUCUGCAGCUGGAUACUGGCCUAAGGGUUUCCUGUCAGUUUCAAAAAAGUCUCUGGAAUCUUUUUUAUCUUCUUCAUUGCAACAUGAAUGACGACAC
ensembl:lncRNA